UCUCCUUCCGGUAAGGGCACCGGUAGAACACCGGUUCGAUAGGCGGCAGGUGCAAGCGCGGCGACGCGCUCAGCCGAGCCGUACUAAUCGCCCGAGCUCUUUCC
rnacentral:rRNA from 1 species